rnacentral:lncRNA from 1 species
CUCUGAAACUACUGGGCCAAAUUCUACCAAACUUGGCCACAAUCAUCCUUGGCAUAUCUAGUUUAAAAAAUGUGUGGCGUGACCCGUCAAACCAACCAAGAUGGCCGCCAUGGCUAAAAAUAGAACAUAGGGGUAAAAUGCAGUUUUUGGCUUAUAACUCAAAAACCAAAGCAUUUAGAGCAAAUCUGACAAGGUGUAAAAUUGUUAAUCAGGUGAAGAUCUAUCUGCCCUGAAAUUUUCAGACGAAUCGGACAACCUGUUGUUGGGUUGCUGCCCUUGAAAUGGUUAUUUUAAGGAAAUUUUGCAGUUUUUGGUUAUUAUCUUGAAUUCUAUUAUAGAUAGAGAUAAACUGUCAACAGCAAUAAUGUUCAGCAGAGUAAGACCUACAAAUAAGUCAACAUGACCAAAAUUGCCAGUCGACCCCUUAAGGAGUUAUUGCCCUUUAUAGUCAAUUUUUAACAACUUUUCAUCAUUUUUUGUAACUUUUCUAAAAAUUUUCUUCUCUAAAACUACUUUGCCAAAUUUAAUCACACUUGGCGACAAUUAUCAUUGUGGUUUAUAGUUUAUGUGUCCGAUGACCCAGCCUACCAAACAAAAUGGCCGACAUGGCUAAAAUUAGAACAUAGUGGUAAAAUGCAGUUUUUGCUUUAUAUCUUUGAAACCAAGACAUUUAGGGCAAUUUUUCAAGAUUUUAAUGUCCAUCAGAAUAAGAUAUAUCCCCUCACAAAUUUUCAGUUGAAUCGGACAACCUGUUGUUGGGUUGCUGCCCUUAAAUUGGUUAUUUUAAGAUAAUUUUGCAGUUUUUGGUUAUUAUCUUGAAUACUAUUAUAGAUAGAGAUAAACUGUAAACAGCAAUAAUGUUCAGCAAAGUAAGAUCUACAAAUAAGUCAGCAUGAUCAAAAUUGUGAGAGGACCCCCUAAGGAGUAAUUGCCCUUUAGAGUCAAUAUUAAAUAACUUUUCCUCAUUUUUGUAACUUGUAUAAAAAUCUUUUCUAAAACUACUUGGCCAAAUUAAACAAACUUGGCCACAAUCAUAAUACUAGGGUAUCUAUUUUUAAAAAGAGUGUCUAAUGACCCCGCCUACUAACAAAGAUGGCCGACAUCAGUAAACACAUUAACAGGUGAGCGACACAGGCUCUUGAGAGCCUCUAGUUAUUUAAUGUCAAAAAUAA